UGGACUGAACUGGACCGAAUAUCUCAUCUCUUGCUAUCAGCAUUUCAUCCUUAACAUUUGAAAAAACUGUGGGCUUGAUAUAAUAGCCCUUGGUGCCAAAUCUCUCUCCUCCAGCUUCAAGCGUAGCUCCAUCUUCAAUACCAGAUCUUAUGCACUUCAGAAUCUUCUGAAAUUGUUCUGAAUCAACCUGGGGGCCUUGUUCAAUACCCUCCUUGAAUGGAUCACCAACAAGACGUUUUAC
rnacentral:misc_RNA from 1 species